rnacentral:rRNA from 1 species
CGGGACGGGUGAGUAAUGUCUGGGAAACUGCCUGAUGGAGGGGGGUAACUACUGGAAACGGUAGCUAAUACCGCAUAACGUCGCAAGACCAAAGAGGGGGACCUUCGGGCCUCUUGCCAUCGGAUGUGCCCAGAUGGGAUUAGCUAGUAGGUGGGGUAACGGCUCACCUAGGCGACGAUCCCCAGCUGGUCUGAGAGGAUGACCAGCCACACUGGAACUGAGACACGGUCCAG